GGCGCGCCCGCAACGGUCACCAACGGCUGCCGGUCUUCGGGGACCUGCGGCGCCCCCUGCCGACACGGGCCAAAGCUGCAGGGACGCGCCCCCUUCGCUGAGGUCGCCCUGCUUGCUGACCUAGCUCCCCUCCCCGCAACCCCUACCCCUGCCUCUCCCCAAUUCCAGGACCCCAGCUCUCCAGCCAAACCAGCUCUAACAUCUUCCUGGAUUCUCUACAGCACAAGGGGAGCGAUGCUAAAGCACUCCUGACUUCACCCCAACUCACACCACCCCAGGCACCUGUCUUAGGAUGUCCUCUGAGGCCUGGGAUUAGGUCUGAUCCCCACUCGAGUCACCCCUACCCCUUCUAGCUACCCAAAGAAAACCUGUUUUCCCCCCAAACACUGGGUUUAAGAAUAAAAGCUGUUCAAUCUCCAA